CCCAGACUCCUACGGGAGGCAGCAGUGGGGAAUAUUGGGCAAUGGGCGCAAGCCUGACCCAGCAAUGCCGCGUGAAGGAAGAAGGCUUUCGGGUUGUAAACUUCUUUGACAGGGGAAGAGCAGAAGACGGUACCCUGAAAACAAGCCACGGCUAACUACGUGCCAGCAGCCGCGGUAAUACGUAGGUGGCAAGCGUUGUCCGGAUUUACUGGGUGUAAAGGGCGUGUAGCCGGGAAGGCAAGUCAGAUGUGAAAUCCGGAGGCUCAACCUCCGAAUUGCAUUUGAAACUGUAGGUCUUGAGUAUCGGAGAGGCAGGCGGAAUUCCUAGUGUAGCGGUGAAAUGCGUAGAUAUUAGGAGGAACACCAGUGGCGAAGGCGGCUUGCUGGACGAUGACUGACGUUGAGGCUCGAAAGCGUGGGGAGCAAACAGGAUUAGAUACCCCAGUAAU
rnacentral:rRNA from 1 species